AAAGGCAGACAGACAGAGCUGCAGUGAGACACACACACACACACACACACACACACACCAGCAUGCACGGAUGAAAGAAGAAGCAGGUGAAUGAAAGAAGAUACAGCGUGCACAACAAACGUGGAAAAAUGGAGUGGAUACCAGACGAUUUAAGGAUAUGUAUGUAUGUAAAAAACACCAGCAUGCACGUGUCCCUUUCUUUGCCUCAGGUCUCUCCCUCCACGCCUCCCUUAAACUCUUCUGCGCCCCCCUGGGGAGGCACGCCUCACAGUUUGAAAACCUAUGGAACAGACAGUUCUAUUAAGCUACCUCUUUGGUCUCCUCCUCACAUAGAGCGAGCACAUCUGCCUGUUUUGUAUGCUUACCUAUCUUUUACUUUGACAUCUUUCCUCUUAUGAUGACAGCCACAGAGUCAUUCCUCAGACUCUGAACUUUCUUGGAGCUCAGCUAUUUCAGUCUUCAGAAGACACAAAGGGCACUCAUCUCCUCAUCUGUGAUCCACGGAUUACUGGUUUAUUUCAUCUCUAUGUCUGACCAAGCAUCUGUGCAGCAUGUUGGUAUAAAUGUACAGAUAACACUGUUGCUGUGCCUACUCUGUUCCCACUGUCUCUCUGACUAGGUUUUUAUGAUCAUUAUGCCAAAAUCAACUGUAAUUUAAUCAUAUGCUAUGUAGAGAAUGUUUCUGAUGUCUGAACAUCUCUUUCUUGGUGACCAAUAUUUGUGUGAUAACAGAGUGAGAUGUGGGAAACAGAGUCAGGACGUUUCCUAACUGCAAUGUUCAAAUUCAGAAAUACUUUAAAAUAUGUUUCAAUUACUUUCAGUCAUUUUUCAAGCAAAAUGGCAAUCCCAGUUUCUCAGUUGUGAGAAUUUGCUGAUUUUCUUUAAUAGUUAACUGAAUACCUAGGUUUUGGAGUGUAUUUUGAUGACAUCAUCUUGGGCUUUAGGAAAUUGUGACGGGCAUUUUACACAAUUUUCUGACAUGUUAAAGACCAAACGACUUUUUGAGAAAUUAACUGAUAAUUAACUUAAUUGUUAGUUGCCGCCCUAUUUUAGAUACUUGGCAAACAAACUCCAUAGUGCAUCUAUAGAACGUAAAGUUAAAUUGACAUCAGACUCAACUGAACAGCCUCAUCGUCAUCACAAUCAUCAACCAUAAACAUGGCUGUUAAUUCAACCUAUUCAUAUUGAUGGGCGUCUGAAUGGGUUAGCAGAGUAUACUGAAUGAUCCUUACUGAUUGAAUCCACAUUUGCAUGAGGUGAGUGCAUGCGAUGAAGAUUGCAGUGAACUGAAAGUGAACUAAGUGAGGUGUAAGUCUGAAUUUCAUGAAAGAUGCUGAAGACAUCCAUUGUUGACAUGGUUUUAAGCCAUUUCCACUCUAACAGUAAAGUAUUGAUAUGGAGACUGAGAGAGAGGAGGAACAGAGAGGAGAGGCACUAGAAUAACCACAGAGAAGAAAAGAAAGCCAUUGCAUUUUUCUAAUUAUCUGAUGUACAUUCAAAAACAUUAAGCUUCUGUCCUAUUUUUUCACACUGCAGUAAAUAGCAUUUCAUUCUUACCUGACUCAUCCUAAAGUUGAAUUCAACUGAAUUCAUCACAGACGUUGGAAUUUGCCAAUACUGACUCAAAUGCUCAUUAAUAAAGACUAAAAUAAUUAAUACAUCUGAGUACUAUUAAAGAAAAAGUAGCAUGCAGAGGGUAGAUGGUUUGAUAUAUAGAUAGAAAGAAAGUCAUGGGUCAAAGGUUUCAGUUUCUGACAAAUGCUGUUCCCCACAAGCUUUAGCUGCUUUCCAGAUAAACUUUCAAAGUCUUAUUUUGUGUGUACAAACUCAAAAACCUUUCUAACAAAUCCUGCAAGUAUCCAGAGAUGGUGUGGCAUUUACACCCAACCCUGAUGUUAAGUGAACAGAUAGAAAUAGCAUGUGCAGAGGAGGUGAAGUGUGGUAAUUUUUCAGUACUCUGCACUCUUCUACAAAUAUGAUGGGAUUGAGCGAUGGAAAGAAGAAAAAAAAAGAAUAGCAUUUAGACAAAGAGCGAUGUUGAGUGAAGAGAUAGCGUGAGCGGGGGGGUGGCGUUUGGUGAUUGUGUUGAGCCAUCCAUAGUGAGAGAGCGAGUGUUUUUCCUGCUCUGAGAGGGGGGAAGAAUAGUCGCUGGGCAGAUAGAUGGGAGGAAAAAAUGCUGCUGUGGCACUGAUAAAGUGAGUGAGGACCACUACUGCCACACUUGGACAAUUCCAGACACAAUCUUCUCCCCUCUUUUCUUUUCUUUCCUCUGCUGCCAACUCCUGUUCUUGCAGGCACAAUAAUGGCUGUUUCUGUGCCCUGUUCCUCUCACUCUCUCUCACACACACACACACUAUAUCUUCCAGUGUGUGUCAAAGAUGUGGGGAAAAGUAGGAGGGGAGCCACUUUGUGAUAUAGUGAAGCCCUAACAACCUUUCAUUAAGCAGACCAAAUUAGAGGUUUGUAAACUUCAUCCCACCCCAGCCACCCGAACUCAUCCACCUCCACCUUAUUCUUUGUGGCCCCAACCUGCAGAUUCUGUAUCUCAGGUCUGCCAGAGGAGGGUAUCUCUUGAAGCUUGUGAGCGAGAAAACAGUUUCUGAUCUGCACUUGCACAUUAUCACUGGGAUAUAAAAAUGCCUUCGGUCUGUACACCACAAGCUCAGCUAAAAAGGGGGGGGGCAUUAGCACAAAGGUUCACAGUUGACAGCAUGCAGAUAUGCUGACGCCUGUAAUAAAAUAAGGCCAGCCGGGUGUGCAAGAGUUGACAUUGCAUAUAGGUGUACAGCCGGGCAUCUGCAUAAAGAGCCUCUGCUUCUGCCAGCAGCCAUCAUGGCCUCGACAGAUUAGAAAUUGUGUGUGUAAGGAUUCACCGCAAAUAAUGAGAAAUGAGUUUUAAAUUGUAGCUCAGGCACAGUGAAAAAAUGGGCCCUGUCAAUAUGUGGUGUGUGAUGCAGAGAGAGGGAGGAAAGAGUGAGAGAGCGUGUUCGAGGAUUUAGGGACGAGAGAGAUAGGGAGGGACAGAGACAGAGGGAGAGAGAGAAUGAGGGAUCAGGGGAUGACUUUGUUUUGGUUUACUGCUUAUUACCAUCAUAAUCCUUUGUCCUGUUUUCCACUCUGCAGUCCGGGCACACCUCUCGCCUCGUCUCUGCGCUAGACACUGUGAUUGCCUUGUAUUUAAGAAGCCUUCUGUGAGCCUCUGUUCCGACAAAUGCUUUUCCAAUACCAAUCACAGCUGAGUGCACCUCAUUUGAAUCUGUGAAAGGGGUUUUGAUUCCAUCAGCAGAAUGCUCCUCCAAGCGCGGCACAGACCAUUCAAUACUGUGGCAACGUGUGAAAGCCUCAGAAUAUUCUCACCUAGUAUAUGCAUACACUGUAAAGGGUUUGGGUGAGGGCUGCCUUGCCUCUUCAAACCGUGUUGUUCAUUAAUCCCCCUUUUAUUCUCUACAUAGGGCCUCAUUAGCUGCUCUCCUUUAUGGCAUUUAGAAAUUGUAAGCUGUGCUCCAUGUGACUUUCAAAUGUGUGAUGAAACAGAAGCGUUUUACUGGUCAUAAACUUUGAUGAGGAGUGAAAAGGGCUAAUUGUACACUCAGUUUUAGUGUUUGAUGGUGUUUAUGCCACCUGGUCAACCUCUAAUGUGUACGUAUACAUUGAGUGUGUCUGUAUUUUACUGCGUUUGACUGCGUGUGGUACAGACCAGCUGCUGAUAUCUCCACUGCAGCAGCUUGUUGACCUUCAAACUUAUCAGUGCAUAUCUUUUGUCAGAGCAAUUGCCUGCCUUUUGGUCUGUGAGGAGUUUGGAUAAUGCAUCCAAAUUAAAAUCUUUUGUAAAUCCCAUUGCUUGAUUGCUUGAGAGCCACUGAGAGUUGUUCAACAAUAAUGGUGAAGGACUUCCUGAUUCCCAAAGUCAUUUUCUCUUCAUUAUUCAGGCGUGUAUUAGCACCUCUUGUUUUCCACACAGAGAUAAAAACAUCCUACUAAACUGCCUCAUACAACAUCCUCUUAUCUGCGUCACUAUGUCCCGGGUGUUGGGUUCUAAUCUAACUUGGGACCUUUAUGCAUGUGCAUGAAAUUUAAUGUAACUUCCUAGCUAUUAUCACGUCUUUUUAAUAUCAUAACCAAAUGUUGUUGAUGUUGUUUAUCUAUAAAUUCCUUAUGUAUAUGUUCUACUGCAAAA